UAAUGGAUUUUGCCAUUCAUAGUAUGAAAGUUAUUAUUACAUGUAUAAGGCAAACACAAUAUAUGUCUGUUUAAGGUUACAUACAUCAAAUAAAUAGGGUAGGUGGUAAGGUCGGUAUUUCCAUUUUAUUUUAUUUUUUCAUUUUAAUUUUUUGGCAUGAUUUUAGAGUCAUGCAGUUUUAUCUUGUCAUGGGCCGAGUUCACCUGUAUUUUUAAAGAUUGAAUUAUUUCCCUUUGUUAUUGGUUGGAAAAAAUGGUGGCAAAGUGUUUAAUUUCAUCACACGAGUUGCGAAAUUUCCUUAAAACAGCUGCCAUAUUUAUGAUUGUGAACAUUAGGAUGUAUCAGGCAAUUGACUUAUAUUAUUGGCAACGCUACAAAAAUGUAAAUGCACUUUUGACUCUAGUUCAGUUUAUUUUUCACUUUACGACGGAAAUAAAAUGACUAUUUAAAGGGUCGGUGCUCAAAAAUAGGGUAGGUCAGGUAACCGUAAACAGACAUAUAUUUUUUUGGCCUUAGGAAAGACUAAAAGAAGCAAUAAUCUGAGGCUUAUUAAUAUGUAGUUUGCUCAUCACGACUGCCUACUUUGACAUAUUAUUUUAUAUAUAUAUAUAUAAUAAUUAUUAUCAGUAUUAAAAUUGAAUAGUCACUGCAUGCAUUUUCCCUCUAAAAAAUAGAGUACAUGUAUGACAUCAAAUAUCUGAACUGUGUCCCUGUUCAGUGUUGGUUGGAAUUAAAUCCAUUACUCAAAGCUAAAUCCCCAGUAAACAGAAUCGAACUAUAAUGGUAUUUGUAAAAUUUUCUUUGUGAAACCACAUGACCAAGAGGCAGAAAAAAGCCCCACUUGUAAUAAAGCUGUGUAUUCUGUUACAACAGACAACUGUGUGCAAGCAUGAAAGUAUGCAAAUCAUCAUUUUUUAAACUAAACAGCUGUUUAGAAACGGUCAAACCGAUAGAUGAGAGGGGAGGGUCUCAUAUUCUUAUUGCUGUGAAUGUAAGUCUACCUCAAUCUACUGAUGAUACAAAAAAUAACAACACAUACAUGUACAAGUGUUUUUCAUGACACUUAGCUGAUAUUGUAACAUAAGCUCCCUUAUGCUCAUGAUUUUUAUUUAUUUUAGAUUUACUUAUUCUAGUUAUCAGGAUUUUAUCUUUUUAUAUACCAAAACUUUUAAUCUUUAAAAAAGUGCGGGUACAAUUGCAAAUGUAUACUGUUUCUAUUUCUAUCUAUACAUCUUUAAAACAGCCAGAUUUUUGGAUAGAGAGUCAGGGGUGGAUCCAGCCAUUUUAAAAAGGGGGGGUUCCAACUGUAUGUCCCCAUUCAAAUACAUUGAUCGGCCAAAAAAACAGGGGGUUCCAACCCCCGGAACAACCACCCCCCCUUGGAUUCGCCAAUGAGAGUUGUCUCAUUGGCACUCAUAUAUUUUGUACCACAUCUUCCUAUACAUCUAUAUCUAGACAGACUGACUAUAUUAAAGUCAGUCUGUCUGUCUGUUCCAUGAAUUUUUUUCGUCCAUCUUUCUCAGGAAAAUAACAAGGAUUUCUAAAAUUUGCUUUCAGGGUUUAUAUGAAUCAGCAAUACCUUGUGAUGCUUUUUCAUAUUCAUCAUUCAACAACUUCCUGUGUACCUUAAAAUUCUUAAAGUUUAUGAGGGUAUCAUAAGCGAUCAGUAGCUCACAGAUUCACUUGUUUGUUUCAGAUUAUUUUAUAUAUUUUUUGUUGGGGGAGGGAGCUGACUAUUUUGAGCAGUGCUCUCAGCACUUCUAUUUAAUCAUAAAAGUAACAUUAAGACGAGCAAACAAACAUUAGCAACAUGCGUAUCAUGGGUUUAUUUAAUUUGCAUUAUUUAAUGCACAUUACUUGUGUGGCAAAAGUAAUUUCUUUAUUUUAAAAAAUAUAUGAUUCAUUAUCAUGAUGAUUAUACACAGAUAGUCAUACAUGUUACAUGUAUACACAGGUUCAUACUAUUUUUGUAUAUAUAGCUCUGUAACAGUUUCAGUACUUCAUUUGUUUGUACUUAUACAUCUUUGGAUUUAAAUGUUUGGCUUUGAUGAGUGUUCCUGAUGAAAGUAAAUCCAGAAAAGCACUUUGGACGCAUGAAAUUAUUAAACGUGUUGUUUAUCAAUUUUUCAUGCUAAUUAUUAAUUAUAUAUAAUCUUUUUCUUUUAGGUCGCCUGAGAAUUACAGGACUGAGGUUACAGUAUGCCAUUCAAGCUUUGGUGAAAUAUAAAGUAAUGGUUUGAAUUUGGAAUCUUUAUUAUAGACAGGUAAAUUGUUUAUCCUGCAAUUAUCUAACUAUUGUACAAUGAGACGACUCUCCUCAAGAGUCCAAGUGAAACAGAAAUUAAAAACUAUAGGUCACCAUUUAGGCAUUAUGGCCUUCAACAAUGAGAAAAACACAUAAAAGGCCCAAAAUCAUAAAUGUUAAUAAACAUGUUGAAGGAGAAAACUAAUGGCCUAAUUUAUGUGGAAAAAAAAUGAAUGAACAAACAAACAAACAACAAGUGCUUAAUUACAGACACAUACAUACAGAAUGUGGCGGGGUUUAAGUUGAUUGUUUAAUAACGGUUAAAUAUGUUAGCAAGCCAGGCUUUUCUUCCUGUUCUUAUAAUACAUGUACGUGCAAAUAAAUUUCUGUUUUCUUACAUCGUGAGAAGAUUGUAUGAUGUAAAUUUAGAACUUUAUACAUGUUAAAUGGCAAUGAUUUUAAAAGGCAACUUUAAAUACAAAAUGUAUCUCAUUUUUAUAAGAACUGACAUUCUGAAAUCUAUACAUCAUGUACAUGCAUGACAAAUAAGUAACUGUACAAGUAUGUAGAUAUUUUCUGAAAUAGCAAUUAUUAAUAUCACAAUUUUCCAUUCUUCAAGAAUUGCAAUACAAUAAUAAUGUACCCAAUAUAAAUCAUGAUAAUUUCUUAAUUAAAAAUGAAGUGUCUGUACCAGCAAUAAUAUUUAUAAACACAGACAUGACAGAUACACCUAUAAUAAUAUACUGAACUUGCUAGCUAAAAUUUCUUGUGGAUUACUGAUAUUGAUCAUGUUGAUAUUGAAGUAUUCCUGUCAUUGUUCACAUUUGGAAAAGGAGAUAUAAAUACAUAAAUUUAAAUAUUUAUUACAUAGUGCGCUUUUUUUUAAAAUGUGUGUGGAAAAUUUAAUUUUUGUUCAAAUGUUGAAUGAAGACAUUUAUAUACUACAGGUAAAAAAGGAUGGGAAUUAUUUUGUUAGCAUUUUAAUUGUACCUUUUUGAAGAAGUAUGUUUGCACUAACUUUUGAUUACUUUUUUCAUUUUGAAAAUUUCAUUUGAUAUAUACAUUGUACAUGUAUUAUAUUUGGAUUUUUAUUUUUCAGGGAUAAAGACCUUAGACCUGCAGUCAGACACCAGUUAAAAGUUACUUAUUAUAUAACUCAUCAUGGCCAUUAUCAUGAUUAUGGAAGAUCUGAUUAAAAUUUGUUUAGAAAGCUACCAAAUAUGUCCGUGAAAAAUAGAAAAAAGACAGCAAUUCUACAUAAUGUACCGUACUAAGCAGAAGCAUUGAAUGUUUCAAGACCAAAUGAAUUGGAAUUUAGUGUUUUGAUGCUGAAAAAACAAGGAAUAUUAAUUUUCAUCAUUAUUGAAGUUGAUUUUUUUACCUCAGUUAAAAUGAAUUCCAAAUAUACAUGAUAUCAGCAGUUCGGAGAUUUGUGAAUAUUCUUAGAAUAGGAGCUUCAAAAAGGAUUUCAGUUAAAAAAUUGUAUUUCAUGGAUGUAAAAAAUGUAAUUUGUUGUCUCUUUCAUGAAAUAUAUGAAAAAAAUCUGCAAUAUCUAACCAAGACGAGUGAGAGAUCUACAAAUAGACAUGCUAUUCAGUUGAAUUGUAAACAUGGUAAAGAGGAAUUUUGAAAUAUUCAUUUAUAAGACUUACAUGAGUGUUUUGUUAUUUUUAUGGCGAUUACAG
rnacentral:lncRNA from 1 species